rnacentral:rRNA from 1 species
AGAGCGAACGCUGGCGGCAGGCCUAACACAUGCAAGUCGAACGGAUCCUUCGGGAUUAGUGGCGGACGGGUGAGUAACACGUGGGAACGUGCCUUUGGUUCGGAACAACUCAGGGAAACUUGAGCUAAUACCGAAUGUGCCCUUCGGGGGAAAGAUUUAUCGCCAUUAGAGCGGCCCGCGUCUGAUUAGCUAGUUGGUGAGGUAAAGGCUCACCAAGGCUUCGAUCAGUAGCUGGUCUGAGAGGAUGAUCAGCCACAUUGGGACUGAGACACGGCCCAAACUCCUACGGGAGGCAGCAGUGGGGAAUCUUGCGCAAUGGGCGAAAGCCUGACGCAGCCAUGCCGCGUGAAUGAUGAAGGUCUUAGGAUUUGUAAAAUUCUUUCACCGGGGACGAUAAUGACGGUACCGGAGAAGAGCCCCGGCUAACUUCGUGCCAGCAGCCGC